UCGAUUAUAUCACGUUGAAACACCGAUUCCCAUAUGAUCAUCGAAGUUAAGCAACUGUGGAGCCUGGCCCGUACCGAGAUGGGUAGCCGCUUGGGAAUACCAGGUUCUGUU